CUGAAUCUGAAGGACAUUUUUCUGUGCUAAAUGAGGCAUGUUCAAUGUUUUCACAUACCAAUCCAUUGCAUUUCGAUAUAUUCCAGAGUGUUGCACGAUUUGAAGCUGAAGUUGUUGCAAUGACAGCUUCAAUACUUGGCAGUAAAAAAAAGGCUUCUGGAGGAGAAAUAUGUGGAAACAUGACAUCAGGAGGAACUGAAAGUAUAUUAUUGGCUGUCAAAUCAUCUCGUGACUAUAUGAAGGCAAAGAAGGGAAUUACAAGGCCUGAAAUGAUCAUA
rnacentral:misc_RNA from 1 species